rnacentral:rRNA from 1 species
UGAGUUUGAUCCUGGCUCUGAAUGAACGCUAGCAGUAUGCCUUAUACAUGCAAGUUGAACGUCAAAAGACGUAACGCGUGGGUGAGUAAAGCUUAAGAAUUUAUAUUACAAUUUUAUUAUUAAAAAUAAUUUAAUUAAAAAAGAUUAAUCGUUGUAAAGUAAGCUUAAGUAAGAUUACGGUAGUUGGUGAGGUAAAGGCUCACCAAGCCUAUGAUCUUUAGCUAUUCUGAGAGGAAGAUUAGCCACAUUGGGAUUUAAAUAUAGCCCAAACCUUUUCGAAGGGCAGCAGUAAGGAAUAUUGGACAAUGAGAGCAAUCUUGAUCCUACAAUACUGCGUGAGUGAAGAAGGCAAUAGUCGUAAAACUCUUUCAUUAGGGAAGAUAAUGACGGUACCUAAAGAAGAAAGUCUGACAAAUCCUGUGCCAGCAGUCGCGGUUAUACAGGGAGACUAAGUGUUAUUCAUCAUUACUGGGUGUAAAGGGCACGUAGGCGGUUUAUUAAGUUUUGAGUAAAAGCCCAAGGCUAAACUUUGGAAAUGCUUAAAAUACUGAUAAACUUGAGUUUUUAUAGAGGAUAGUGGAAUUUCUAGUACAGAGGUGGAAUUCGUUAUAAUAUUAGAAGGAACAUCAGAGGCGAAGGCGACUAUCUGGAUGUAAACUGACGCUGAGGUGCGAAAGUAUGGGUAGCAAACAGGAUUAGAUACCCUGGUAGUCCAUACUGUCAACGAUGAGUGUUAAAUGUUGGAUAUUUUAUUCAGUGUUACAGCUAACGCGUUAAACACUCCACCUGGGGAGUACGGUCGCAAGAUUAAAACUCAAAGGAAUUGGCGGGAGUCUAUACAAGCGGUGGAGCAUGUGGUUUAAUUCGACAAUACGCGCAAAACCUUACCAGCUCUUGUGAUAACUAAUGUUUUAAAAAGAGAGAUCUUUUUAUAUAUAAUUAAGACAGGUGUUGCAUGGCUGUCGUCAGCUCGUGCUGUGAGGUGUUUGGUUAAGUCCUUUAACGAGCGCAACCCUUAUUUUUUAUUGCUAAUAAAUUUGAUAAAAUAGUUAUUUUAUGAUUUAUGCACUUUAAAAAAACUGCCAUUAAUAAAAAGGAGGAAGGAGAGGAUGACGUCAAGCCAGUAUGGCCCUUAUGAGCUGGGCUACACACGUGCUACAAUGGAUUUUACAAAGAGAAGCAAUAACGCGAGUUGGAGCGAAUCUUCAAAAAUUUUCUCAGUCCGGAUUGUUCUCUGCAACUCGAGAACAUGAAGUUGGAAUCGCUAGUAAUCGUAAAUCAGCAUGUUACGGUGAAUACGUACCUAGACUUUGUACAUACCGCCCGUCACGCUUUGGGAGUUGGUUUUACCUGAAAUUUGAAAGAUACGUAUUUUACGUUACGUUAAAUGAAGGUUAAAUUAGUAACUGAAGUGAAGUCGUAACAAGGUAGUCGUAGGGGAACCUGUGGCUGGUAUUA